CCUAACAUCGAGGUUGGGGUUACGUUUGUACACGUAACACGGCUGCUGCCGCAGGCACCCACACACACACAUUUGCGUCACCCGUGCACGGAUCCUCGCGGAUUCUCUCGUCGUGUCUACGACGAGCAUAGAGAUCUGCGAACUGUUCACGUGGGGAAUCCUUUCUGGCCGUCGACGGCCGCAGGAUCAGCGGUGCCCACGAGUCGAGAGGGACAACCGGCCCCGGAAGAGUCGAGUGCCGACAGAGAGUGAACGGGUAGGGAGGACGGGAAAGGAGCGGACGGUGGUGUCGUCGGGUAAGGAAACAGCGGAACGUAAACGGGUCACGCGAGCCGUGUUAUCAGUGUGUCUCUCUCGUGCACUUGCGAAAAUAAUCGAGAUAUAUCGUCGGUGAGUGCAGAGUAUCGAGGGUAAUUAACCAGUCACGGGAUUACCGUGGUAAUAAUGGCUGGUCGCGAUUGACUGAGAGAGGGAAAUUGUGUUUGCGCGGCCACUGGUUGUACUACUGGCUACAUCUACUGCCGAGCAACGCGACAGGACGACAAAGGAGGACGAAGAUAGAAAUCGUGGAAGGUACGAGGAGUAAGAGAGAAGGAGAUACCUGGUAGAUUAAAGCGGCGGGAUCGCAAUCGAAGGAAAUCAGAUGUCGUUAGCGGAACGUUUGGGAGAACCCGGAACGAAUGUGCAUCGUUAACGACGUAGCGGCGUUCGUGUGAGGGACGGCAACAACGAAACGAGCAGUCGUAGGCGUCGUGUUCAUUUUCGAUACGGAGGUGAAUAGAGUCGAUGAGGAUUGCGAGGAAGACUACGAGGAGCGGAUCGAGUCGAAGAGUGUCAUCUACCAGCGAAGGGGCACGCGUCCAGACGACGGUCAGAUGAUUUUCGAUCGAUCGAUUGACGGUCGCACGGUAUCGAGACCAUCGCGCCACCGAGUUCUGUUACGUCUCUAGACUGCCAUGCCGUCGUACUGCCGUCGGAGAUGCGCACCGACGACCAGCGAUGACGAUACUUAGCUGAGAUGUGUCGCUUCUCGCUGGAUCAAAGGGGAGAACGAUCAGUCGCCACGACAUCUGGACCUUGCGAACGAUGCUCUUCCGUUUUCAAAGGAGACUGAGCGUACGGUGAUCAGAAGCGAUUAGACAGCAAGGGAGAGGGUGAAAAAGGAUGGCUCUUCGAUACUCGUGCGCGGCUCGACCGAACGCUAGGAAUCCUGUAACAGCGACGAAACGAAGAAAGCAGCAAGUACACGAGUCGUGGCAAGGGACGAAUGCGACCCGUCUCCCGCGUCUGUCAACCGUGCCUCGAUUCUGAGGAACGUGGCGGAGGGUUUUUAUGUGACGAGGGAGAGGAUUCGGCACAUUGCUCGUCGGCCGCACGUGCGCAUUGAUGGUCGAUAGCGAAACUCCUUUCACAGCCAGAUAUACCCGGAAUAAUCCUGUGCUUUCUCUCAUGAAUUUUUGUGUCGAACAGGUGCGAGGUAGAGGGGGGUAGCCACGCUAGCCAACACGCGAGAACACGCGCAAUCCGUCCUAGAAGGAGCGUAACGAGAGCGGUGCUCGGAGUCCUGCGAUAGAACAGCCAACCGUGGUGUUGAAAGAAGAGCAAUCGGGGUGACUAGUUGUACCAAUCCUGUGCAACGUGUUGAGAGAAAAGAGAGGGAGUGAUAAAGGAAGAAGAUGAAGAGAAGGGAAUGCCUGGUAUACGAGGCGGUGUGAUCCGUUUCGAGCGAGCAACAGCAGCAGCACAUGCUACGGGGAUCCGUAUCAAUUCGCGACUGUGAUCUUUAAGCUUAAGGUUUAAAACAAAUAUUCAAUGAAAGCAACUGAAUAAGAAGAAGCAGCAAAGGUGAAUAAGAAAGACCGAUAGGGGGAGUAAUUAUAUAAAUAAUUAACUUAAAUGAUAGAAAAACUAAAUCGUCCAUUGCGAUGCUAAGAUGUAUUAACGGAGGAUUAAGGUGAACACGUGCGCUCAAGGAGAUGGGUGUGAAUGAAAGGGGGCGCGACACAGAGUGUGCCAGGCUGAAAUGCGAGUGUAAUUAAUGGAAACGAUGGUCGAUCGCGGGGCAUGCGUCGGAUCUACAAACUGUGAUACACACCGAUAACCGCAACGGGAAGAGUCUGAUGUUUGAUCACUGACGUCGAAUCGCGUGUACCGACCUGUCGACCAACAAAGUGACAUGAAUCGCCGGUUUGGAAACGCAUUAUCCAUCAGCUGGUGAUUCUGGUACCAAGUGAAUCGAACCGAGACCAGCGAACGAUAAUUUGGAUCCAGCGACUGAUUCCCCGGCGCACGAGGAUCGGUCAUCAUCCAUGUAAAGAAAGCUGACGGUCCCAGAGGAGAGUCCAGGGGACGAUCGAGCCAGCGGGAGAAAGCUGGUGAAGGUGAAUCAGUCGGUAGGAGGCAAGGAGAGAGAGAGCGAGAGAUAGCGUAGAGAAGCGUCGCUAGAGCAGUCACCAGACAGCGUGUACCACCCCCUGACCAAGGGGGGUGGGACAGAAAGACCGUCAGCGUGGGUGCCGGUGCUACAGGGGCGCGCCUGGCCCGUCGGCUCGCCCGCAGAUUAGCACGCCGGUUAGCGGCUAGCUCGGGCCCGUUUCGGCGUACCGGCCUGGCGACCUCCGGGGGCCUCAUGUCGGCGGCGGUGGCCGUGGCGGCCACGGGGGAGCAGUCCGCUCCCCCAACGGCCGCGCCACGCCAUGCCACGCCGAACGGAAGCGUGAACGGAUCGACGUCGAGUUCGAAUCGCAAGAACAGAGCCACGUCUAUGAGGAGUCUUCAUCGACGCGUCUCUCACCCUUGCCAUGGAAUUGAGAACCGACAUGCCGCGAAACACGAAAAGCGCCCGUCACAGAAGCUCGAAACCUCCUG